rnacentral:miRNA from 1 species
AUCGUGAUGUAGCCCUUGU